UGCCAUAAGGGGGGACUAUUACCCCUUAUGGCACAUACGUCGCACGUCGCA
rnacentral:sRNA from 12 species